UACGUAGGAGGCAAGCGUUGUCCGGAAUUACUGGGCGUAAAGCGCGUGUAGGUGGUGGGACAAGUCUGCUGUGAAAGCGCCUGGCUUAACCGGGCGAGGUCGGCGGAAACUGUACGACUCGAGGACGGUAGAGGGGGGUGGAAUUCCCGGUGUAGUGGUGAAAUGCGUAGAGAUCGGGAGGAACACCUGUGGCGAAGGCGGCCCCCUGGGCCGGCCCUGACACUGAGACGCGAAGGCGUGGGGAGCGAACGGG
rnacentral:rRNA from 1 species